rnacentral:lncRNA from 1 species
GGUUGGCAACAGAGGAGUCAAAUAACACCAGACUUUCACUUUUGAGACUGAGUUUCAAACCUGUUUGGAAUUAAAUGUCAAUGAUCAAUUGAUAUUUGAAAAGAAAUGUGUUUAUCUUAUUAAACUGAGAAGAUCUUUUGGUCAAAAGGUAACCAACAGCUCAUUUCGUUUUAGCAGCUGAAUUACAAAAUGCUGAAAGGCUCAGAGGGCUGAACUUGGUUUAUUGAUCCUAAAGUGUAAAAACUGAACUAUGCCCAGGAAAAAGUGUGGCCUUCGUGUUCCUGAUGUUUAUCUUUAUUAUUCAACAUAAAAUGUAAAAUUCCCACUGUCCUGGGCAUAUAUUGAAAACUAUGACAUAUAACGGGCUGUUUGCAACAAAACACUGGCAAAGAGCACCUGAAUGAAACCAAAUAUCACUCAAUAGGACCACAUCAUGAAGGAUGCAGAUGUUAUACCACCACAUGAACAGAAAACUCAGUUUGGUUUGAAGGACUCUCCUUUUCCUCAACACCAACAUCUCAGAUUCAGCUCAAGGAGUCAUACUUGGAUCUAAAGGGGUUCUUCAACCACGCUGAAGGAAACUACAGAUAAGUUACUAAUCCUCUUACUUUGACAACUGGAAAAUUCACAAACAGGACUGCUAUAGUUUACAGAACUAGCUUAUGGAGUUUUUAGGUUUGUUGUCUAUGGAGGGUGCAGCCUUAAGUCAACGUGACCAUAACGAACCAGAUCCUUAUGGGUGAUCAUUAAAUAAAAGUUGAAUGUUAAAAUAAUGAUUGGGCCCUCAAUAUGUAUACAUUUCUUUCAAACAAGAUUAUUAAACAGAAAGGUAACUUCUGCUGAAAAAAUGCCAGCUGAAGGCCAACUCCCAAUGGUACUUAAUGGGUACCUGAAUGGACCUUGGAAGAAACCUAGAUAGGGAUGAUAAAGGAUACCUUGAAUAGCUUAUGGGUGCCAUAAAAUAGGGGAUGUUAAAAAAAGAGGAGCUAAAGGGUACUUGAAUCAGAAAAUGGUACCUUCAAACUUACAAUUAAGGAUAUUGAAGGGUAUUGUUUAACAUCAGCUCAAGGGUACUUUAAAAAGAGGCUUGAGAAAGAGCCUAAAAAUCCUCAGAGUUGUUUACUGACAACAUGUCAAAUUCAUUCUUGUGCUACUGUUUACAAUGUCUUUUGUUUUCCUCUAUAUUUGUGAUCGUCAAUAAUCAUCCCCUCUAUUUUUUUAAAACUCAUUUUAUACCCAUUAUACUUCCAAAACUCUACUUUAAGUAACUUCCCAACUGGCACAAUGGUUUAGAUGCUGAAAGCUGUGCUCCGUCUCACACUGACUUGGCUCAAAAUCAGUAUUCUUUCAGCGCUCAUACUUAACAGGGUCUCUUCAGAAAGAUGAGUUAUCAUCAGCUGUCUCAAACCCUCAGAGGAGUGACUAAAACCUUUAAAUGAUUAAAAAAGUGUUUUUCUGACUCUUUUAAUUAAUCUGGACACGAUGUGAAGAGGGGCUGCCAGCUGAGCUGACCACUAAGAGACGAGCUAUGAUUUCGAGAACAGGUUGACUAAUUUUUCUCUUUAGAAAAGUAGAGGCAGAUUUUUCUUUGUUUUUGAAGGAGUUUUCCUUUUAAUCUUUGAAUAAAAGUGUCUGUUGAUCAAAAGCUCUAACAACAAUGACUUUGCAGCUUCUUUUUAAAAAGCAAUAUUUCAGUGCUUCUUAGGAUGGCUCAAGAGGCGGCUAACUUUAGCUCAACCGGUUUAUGUUUUAACUUCUUAAGGUUCUUUCCAUGAAUAACAGGUUUGAUGAAAUAGUUCACAAAUUUAGAAGUGACUUUAACACAAGUGCACAGUGAGAGAAGAGUCCAUUGGAAAUCUUUUUUAGCCACCUUGGAGUCGCAAAACUGCAGAAGUUUUGGUCUCCAUUGCAUUUAUUUUCACAUGGAGUGGACUGUCAGAUCUUUUCAUUUUGAUUUAAAAAAUGUCCAAAAAAUUUUCUCUGGUCCAUAUCCUUAAAUUUACUGUAAUCAGUUUUUGGUGCCGUGUAAUUUAACCACUCUUAUAUCACUUUGGCAUGUGCAUGAAAUGAGUGCAGCUAUGUUGACCUGUAUGAACCACAUUCCACCAAGUGGUCCGUCAGUGAUUCUCUCCAUCUGUUAAGCUGUCUUUGCCCGUGGCCCCUGUGUGUCCUGUGUGUUUGUGGUUAUCUCUCUCUGUCUGUCUGUGGUCUGUCUGUCUGUCUAUCACCUCUGACUUUCCCUGUCUGUCUCACAACAGUCAUCCAAGCUAUACAGACGCUCAGCCAGUGGAAGAACGCUGGGCAGGGUGCCAGCCAGCCGGGGCGCCAGUUGGGCAGUCCAUCAGUAGCAUUAAAGACAUGUUAUCCACCCGAGUGUAUCCGCCUGGCUUAGAGCCCUGAUCCCCUGUCCGAGCCCCCCCAUGCUGCCCCUUGAAUCACUCAGGGGCCCUGGAUAGAGUGCACCGAGUCCCCUUCUUGCUUUAUCAGCAUGGCACCCAGGCAUCCAGCCUGCUGCUUUGGGUCUCUUAAAACACGUACACAAAUAAAUGAGGAGGGUGCUGGAAAUAACUACUUUCUCAUCUCCAGCCAAGCUGCCCUGCUGCUCAGGUCAUUGUCUUUAAAGGGACAGGGCACCAAAGAGAGCAGGCUGCCAAUGACCUCCACUCAGUUUUUUCCCCUCAGGUCAGCUUAGGUCAAUAAUAUAAAAAGAUAAAAGGCUUGAAAGGGCUGUUUGUUUCCUGUUAUACUUAGCCAGAUAAUAGAUUUAGUGCUUUUUUCAUCACAGCUAAAAAUACGUGCUGUUGCUGUUGUGUCUUGUCCUCAUUCUAUCUGCUUUAAUUUUAUGGUCACAGAUUUAGAGACCAGCUUUCAUUAUUGUUGAUGAAAGAUCCGAAGUGUUACUUGAUCUCAACUACAAAGUCGGGGUCUCUCACUUAAGGAGCUCGUUGGUGUUGACACAGGUUUGCCAUUUUGUUCACACGCCAUUAUUACAAGGGUUCCCGACCUUUCUGACAGCUGCUGUCAUGUUUCAGAUGGACUGAUGGGGUAGAGGGGUUGUGACGCACCUGAUGGCAAUCCUGUACUAAGAUUAUGUAAAGAUAUAAAGUACAGAAAAAAGUAUAUUGCAACCCAGACUGUUUAAGAAAACUGGUCGGGUUUUGGGAAAUGUGGGGAAUAGAGAACAGGGAGAGACCUGCAGCAAACAGGGAAGGCUGGAUUUCUGUGCAAACAUAUGAAUGUGCUGCAUAACCCAAACUGAGCUGUAAAUGUUAAUUUAGCUGUAAAAAAAAAAAAAAACAGGGGACUCCUUUGCCUUAAGUGGACUCUUGAGAAAUUUUACACUUCUGCAUUGCCCACAGUUUUCAACUAGAGAGGUUGUGUUAGCCCAAUUCCUGCAA